rnacentral:rRNA from 1 species
UACGGGGGGGGCAAGCGUUGUUCGGAAUUACUGGGCGUAAAGGGCUCGUAGGCGGCCAACUAAGUCAGACGUGAAAUCCCUCGGCUUAACCGGGGAACUGCGUCUGAUACUGGAUGGCUUGAGUUUGGGAGAGGGAUGCGGAAUUCCAGGUGUAGCGGUGAAAUGCGUAGAUAUCCGGAGGAACACCGGUGGCGAAGGCGGCUUCCUGGACCGACACUGACGCUGAUGCGCGAAAGCUAGGGGAGCAAACGGG